CAGGCUGCAACUCGCCUGCAUGAAGCUGGAAUUGCUAGUAAUCGCGGAUCAGCAUGCCGCGGUGAAUACGUUCCCGGGCCUUGUACACACCGCCCGUCACACCAUGAGAGUCGGGAACACCCGAAGUCCGUAGCCUAACCGCAAGGGGGGCGCGGCCGAAGGUGGGUUCGAUAAUUGGGGUGAAGUCGUAACAAGGUAUC
rnacentral:rRNA from 1 species